GACGAACGCUGGCGGCGUGCUUAACACAUGCAAGUCGAACGGAAAGGCCCUGCUUUUGUUUGGUGCUCGAGUGGCGAACGGGUGAGUAACACGUGAGUAACCUUCCCUUGACUUUGGGAUAACUUCAGGAAACUGGGGCUAAUACCGGAUAGGAGCUCCUGCUGCAUGGUGGGGGUUGGAAAGUUUCGGCGGUUUGGGAUGGACUCGCGGCUUGUCGGCUUGUUGGUGGGGUAGUGGCUUACCAAGGCUUUGACGGGUAGCCGGCCUGAGAGGGUGACCGGCCCCAUUGGGACUGAGAUACGGCCCAGAAUCCUACGGGAGGCAGCAGUGGGGAAUAUUGCACAAUGGGCGGAAGCCUUAUGCAGCAACGCCGCGUGCGGGAUGACGGCCUUCGGGUUGUAAACCGCUUUCGCCUGUGACGAAGCGUGAGUGACGGUAAUGGGUAAAGAAGCACCGGCUAACUACGUG
rnacentral:rRNA from 1 species